rnacentral:rRNA from 1 species
CUACGGGCGGCUCCAGUUAAGGGUCUUUUACAAUGCACGCAACUGUGAUAGAGCGAACCAGAGUGUUUUUCUUAUUUGAAAAACUUUUGUCUGAUGUAAAAAGUCAGACGAAUAAGGACUGGGAGAGACCGGUGCCAGCCGCCGCGGUAAUACCGGCGGUCCAAGUCGCAGCCACAAUUAUUGGGUCUAAAACAUCCGUAGCUUGCUUAGUAAGUUUUUUGUGAAAUCUUAUCUCUUAAGGGUAAGGCGUGCAAGAAAUACUGCUAGGCUAGGGACUAGAAGAAGUAAUGAGUACGAUUGAGGUAGUGGUAAAAUACGUUAAUCUUAAUUGGACUAACAAUGGCGAAGGCACAUUACUAGUACAGAUCUGACAGUGAGGGAUGAAGGCCAGGGUCGCAAAUCGGAUUAGAUACCCCGGUAGUC